rnacentral:rRNA from 1 species
CAUGGCCUACGGGAGGCAGCAGUAGGGAAUAUUGCUCAAUGGGGGAAACCCUGAAGCAGCAACGCCGCGUGGAGGAUGAAGGUUUUCGGAUUGUAAACUCCUUUUGUUAGAGAAGAUAAUGACGGUAUCUAACGAAUAAGCACCGGCUAACUCCGUGCAAGCAGCCGCGGUAAUACGGAGGGUGCAAGCGUUACUCGGAAUCACUGGGCGUAAAGAGCGCGUAGGCGGGAUAGAAAGUCAGAUGUGAAAUC